ensembl:snoRNA
UUUAUAAUUCUGUUGCCAGUUAUACGCAUGGGAUAAAAUAUAUGAGACCCUUGCAAAUUGAGAUGAAAAUAAUCAUUUUCUCUCUUCUGCAUGGCCUGGACAUUG